rnacentral:rRNA from 1 species
GGGUGUUAGGGCACGACACCGGAGAGGGAGCCUGAGAAACGGCUACCACAUCCAAGGAUGGCAGCAGGCGCGCAAAUUACCCAAUCCCGACACGGGGAGGUAGUGACAAUAAAUAACAAUACGGGGUUCUUUCGGAUUUCGUAAUUGGAAUGAGUACAAUUUAAAUCUCUUAACGAGGAACAAUUGGAGGGCAAGUCUGGUGCCAGCAGCCGCGGUAAUUCCAGCUCCAAUAGCGUAUAUUAAAGUUGUUGCAGUUAAAAAGCUCGUAGUUGAAUUUCGGGAUCGACGGGUCGGUCGCGCCUCUGGUGUGUACUGGCCCUGUCGGUUUCUCCCUUCUGACGAACCACGAUGUCAUUAAUUUGGUGUCGUGGGAAAUCAGGACUGUUACUUUGAAAAAAUUAGAGUGUUUAAAGCAGGCAUUCGCUUGAAUACAUUAGCAUGGAAUAAUGAAAUAGGACGUUUGAUCUUAUUUUGUUGGUUUCUAAGAUCGACGUAAUGAUUAAUAGGGAUAGUUGGGGGCAUUAGUAUUCAAUUGUCAGAGGUGAAAUUCUUGGAUUUAUUGAAGACUAACUACUGCGAAAGCGUUUGCCAAGGAUGUUUUCAUUAAUCAAGAACGAAAGUUAGGGGAUCGAAGACGAUCAGAUACCGUCGUAGUCUUAACCAUAAACUAUGCCGACUAGGAAUCAGACGAU